UACGUAGGUGGCGAGCGUUGUCCGGAUUUACUGGGCGUAAAGGGAGCGUAGGCGGACUUUUAAGUGAGAUGUGAAAUACCCGGGCUCAACUUGGGUGCUGCAUUUCAAACUGGAAGUCUAGAGUGCAGGAGAGGAGAAUGGAAUUCCUAGUGUAGCGGUGAAAUUCGUAGAGAUUAGGAAGAACACCAGUGGCGAAGGCGAUUCUCUGGACUGUAACUGACGCUGAGGCUCGAAAGCGUGUGGAGCAAACAGGAUUAGAUA
rnacentral:rRNA from 1 species